CCUCCGAUAGCUCAAGUGGUAGAGCGCUGGGUGCCUAUAGGGAGCACCGUAGUAUAACUAGUUGGUUUUGACUCUUAGCCCAGAAAUGCUGGUUCGAGUCCAGCUCGGAGGA